GGAGAUGUGGCUCAGUGGUAGAGCUCUUGCCUGGCAUGCACAAGGCCAUGGGUUUGAUCUCCAACAUCACAU
rnacentral:tRNA from 1 species